rnacentral:rRNA from 1 species
UACGUAGGAGGCAAGCGUUGUCCGGAAUUACUGGGCGUAAAGCGCGUGUAGGUGGUGGGACAAGUCUGCUGUGAAAGCGCCUGGCUUAACCGGGCGAGGUCGGCGGAAACUGUUCGACUCGAGGACGGUAGAGGGGGGUGGAAUUCCCGGUGUAGUGGUGAAAUGCGUAGAGAUCGGGAGGAACACCUGUGGCGAAGGCGGCUCACUGGACUGGUAUUGACGCUGAUGGUGCGAAAGCGUGGGGAAGCAA